GAUCAUGGCUCAGGACGAACGCUGGCGGCGUGCCUAACACAUGCAAGUCGAACGGGGGCUAGGAAAGCUUGCUUUCCGAAGCCUAGUGGCGGACGGGUGAGUAACGCGUGAGUAACCUGCCUUUCAGAGGGGAAUAACGUUCUGAAAAGAACGCUAAUACCGCAUAACGUACAGUUACCGCAUGGUAGCAGUACCAAAGGAGCAAUCCGCUGAAAGAUGGACUCGCGUCCGAUUAGCUAGUUGGUGGGGUAAAGG
rnacentral:rRNA from 1 species